rnacentral:rRNA from 1 species
UGAAGCUGCAUCAUCCAACACAGCGAGAUGAAGUACUCAGAAUAAAUCGCAGCAAGUGCGAUUGAUACUCAGGGAAUUGAUCUGAUUCUGAAUCUUCCCUUCUUCCGUGUCAACAAACAUUGUGAGAUGCGAUGGCUGCAAUGGUGGGGCCAAACAAUCCUACGGCAGCAGCAAUAGUUAUCCCACGAUAAAUCUCUGUUAAGUGCUCCUUUCUCUUUACCUCUUUACUCCCGUGUCUCUGAUUUUGAUGUCAUAGUCUAUGUUUUUAGCUAGACACCGUGUUUGCGGAUUUCAUAAAGAAGGGCAGAUGAAGAAGCUAUCAGAAGAUUUUGUUGAACGAAACUUGCAUUCUGAUGUUACGAGUGUAGAAAUAUAUUCUGCAUUUUUAGGAAAUUAGAUAAUAGGACCUGCUAAAGGAGAACUUUGGUUAAGCUAUUUCUUUAUUAGUUUGUGCAACCAACCUUAUUUGGUUCUGAUUGGAAGAUAAUACGACCGGCUAAAGGAGAUCUUUGGUCAAAUAUGUCAUUAUUGCAACCAUGCUUAUUUGGUUUUGACGAGCUAAAGUAUUGAAGUAUAUGCAGUGUCAACAAACAGUGUGAGGUGAUAUAGCUACAAUGGUGUGGGGCCAAACAAUCCUACGGCAGCAGCAAUAAUCAGCCCACAAUAAAUCUCUGUUAAGUGCUCCUUUCUCUUUACCUCUUUACUCCCGUGUCUCUGAUUUUGAUUUCAUAAUCUAUGUUUUUAGCUAGACACCGUGUUUACGGAUUUCAUAAAGAAGGGUAGAUGAAGAAGCUAUCAGAAGAUUUUGUUGAACGAAACUUGCAUUUUGAUGUUACGAGUGUAGAAAUAUAUUCUGCAUUUUUAGGAAAUUAGAUAAUAGGACCUGCUAAAGGAGAACUUUGGUCAAGCUAUUUCUUUAUUUGUUUGUGCAACCAACCUUAUUUGGUUCUGAUCGGAAGAUAAUACGACCGGCUGUACACACUUCUAUUGAGUAAAGCUCAUUGUUAAGUUCAGGUAUAAUUAUGUGUCUCGAAUUCUUGUUAUUUUUCAUUUCUUAUGUGAAAUAAAUCAUUAGUGGCAUACUUGGUUUCCCAUACUGUUUUUGGUUAUUGAUUUAAAGUGACCUUUUCUGAUUUUGCAAACCAGAGGGGUUGUUCCAAUUAUAAAUGUAUAUUGCUACUUCUUUUGGCUGC